rnacentral:rRNA from 1 species
UACGUAGGUGGCAAGCGUUGUCCGGAAUUAUUGGGCGUAAAGCGCGCGCAGGUGGUUCCUUAAGUCUGAUGUGAAAGCCCACGGCUCAACCGUGGAGGGUCAUUGGAAACUGGGGAACUUGAGUGCAGAAGAGGAAAGUGGAAUUCCACGUGUAGCGGUGAAAUGCGUAGAGAUGUGGAGGAACACCAGUGGCGAAGGCGACUUCUGGUCUGUAACUGACACUGAGGCGCGAAAGCGUGGGGAGCGAACAGG